ensembl:lncRNA
GAUGUCACUGGUACCAAGGUUGAAGCUUUGGGUGCAGUAGUAGACUCUGCUAAGCUUGUUGUCGAUGUUGUUGUGACUGUAUCUCCUGCCACAGUAUGUAACACAGUAGAUGAACCCACAGCUAGUGUGUUCUUGGUUGAUUCUGGUUCAUUGCUAACAGUUGCUGCUGUGGUUGAGCCCAGUGCUGUAGCUGGCAAUGCUGAUGUCACUCCUGCUGAUGCUGCAGUAGUUGCACUUGUUGUUCGUACCAACGAUGUUGGGGCUUCUGCAGAUGAUUCUGUAGUUCCGGAUGUUCUUGCAGUUGUUGUCUUUACUUCACCUGUUUCAGGUAAAGGUGAUGAUCCCUCUGUUUUUGGUGCUACUGUAGUAGGAGCAAAUGUUGAUUUUGUUGUACCAGAUGCUGUCAAUGUAGUUAUUCCUGCUGAUGAAGAACCAGUGUCAGCAUGCGUUGUAGGUUCUUGUGUCACUCUUUCGACAGUGGUGGAGACUUCUGAUGUUACUGGCUUUACUGACAUUAAUGUUGUAGUUUCCUUUUGGACUGUUGAGGGUUCUUGUGUCACUCUUUCGACAGUGGUGGAGACUUCUGAUGUUACUGGCUUUACUGACAUUAAUGUUGUAGUUUCCUUUUGGACUGUUGAGGGUUCUGGUGUGACUUGAGAUGUCACUGGUACCAAGGUUGAAGCUUUGGGUGCAGUAGUAGCCUCUGCUAAGCUUGUCGAUGUUGUUGUGACUGUAUCUCCUGCCACAGUAUGUAACACAGUAGAUGAACCCACAGCUAGUGUGUUCUUGGUUGAUUCUGGUUCAUUGCUAACAGUUGCUGCUGUGGUUGUGCCCCAAACAGUUGCUGGCAAUGCUGAUGAUGCUCCUGUUGAUGUUAAAGUAGUUGCACUUGUUGCCUCGGCAGCUGUAAAAAUCGCAUUAGAUGAUGGUAUUUUUGUUGUUGGCGGUGCUGUUUCUGAUGCAGACACUGUUGUUUCAUUUGGUGUUAUUGAAACUGUUUUGGUUGUUAAAGGUUCUGUUGUGACUUGAGGUGAUGAUGACUCUGUUAUUGCAGAUUGUACUGCAUUGCUUGACACUGCCUCUGUUGUAGAUACUGUUUGUGUAAGCUGAAUUGUUGUCACGGCCCCUAUAGGUAUAGCAAAUUAGCAUCAAGUUAGGGUACAUUAAUAACAUUCGAAUCGAUUAGUGUAACAAUAUCAGUAGUAAUCAGCAAUCAACUGUUUUAUCAACUGUUUUCUUUCUUUCUUUGUUUUUUUCUUUUCCUUUCUUAAAAUGUUCCUCUAUCAAUUUUCUUUUAAAUAUUACUUUGCUUGGUUAUUUUGCUUGCUGUUGUUUUCCAUUGCAGUGUAUAUUUAUUAUUAAUGGCCCUGUUAAAAAAAUGACAAAAGGGCCAACCCAAAAACUUCACAUUAUUUCAAACAAUGUCUCUCUGCUUUUCCUGAAGCUCAUCUUUAUUAUCGCAAAGGGAUAGUUUACCCAAAAAUUAAAAUUCUGUCAUCAUUUACUCACUCUCAUGUCAUUCUAAAUCCGCAAGUCUUUCAUUUGUCUUGGGAACACAAAUGAAGAUAUUUCUCAUGGAAUAUG